UUCGACUUUCUCCCGCUUGGUUCAGACAACGCGACAGCGAGCGAGAAAAGAGAAGAGAGGAUGAGAGAGCGAGGGAGACGCAGGAAAGAAGGAAGAAGGCGUCGCACCGAGCGGUGGACGAGAGGCACACACAGUUGAAACUCUACGAUUAUUACACCUAGCUAGGGUUUCGAUCCAAUGCCGGUACUCCGUCUCUCCGCCCCUCUCUCGUCUCCCUCCUCUAUUUCUCGUUCUUCGUCUUCCUUUUCCGUUUCUUUGCCCAGCUAGGGUUUCGAUCGAAUGCCAAAGGGUUUCGCGCCAUUAGAGCUCCGUUUCUUGUUUCACUUCUUGUCGUUGUUCGAGUUCUUGGAGGUAAUAGUCACAUUGUCUGUUGGAGGUUUUGAUUUUUUGGUUUACUUCUUCUGUUUCUUGAUUCUAACUUUUUUCUUUACUUCUUAUGUUUCUUGAUUCAUAUUUUUGGUGGCGGCUCUGGGAGUUUGUGAGGAUGAAACAAGUGCGGUGUUGGUGUAUUUAGAGGAGUAGAUGGUGAAGGAAGAGCUUGACGCAGAGCUGGUAUACAUCAUGUGUCGGCGACCUCAACCAAUUAUGGAGGGAAAUAUCUCUUGUCGGUUGGUGUCUUGAUAAGUUGAGGCGUGCAGUAGAGCUUGUUAAAAAGAAUGGGUAAUGUUUCUAUCUCUCUGAAUGGGAAGGUAAGCUUCUGUAUUACUGGUCUCUUGGCUAUAGAAAUUAUCUUUUCUUUGUGGUAACAUCUUGAUAUGAUCGUGAAUAUUUUCUUGCGUUGUUCUAUGAUAGAUCUGUUGUGAUGUACCUUUAUGAGCUUUCUUUGCUGGUUAUUCUUACGGGAUCUAAAGGAUCCCAAGAGAUCUGGUAUAACAAUCCUUUUAGCGAUUUUGAUGUGAAAUUGUACAACUAUGAAAUAAUGCUGGCGAUUUUUGCCUGGCCAGGAGCUCAGCCUCACCAGCUGCACCUACGGCAUCUUGCCUUUUCUCACUCACGCUUAAAAAUUGGAUGGGAAAAGCUCUAUUUCAGAAGAAUAAAGAAGAAGAAAAUUGGAAAACAUCAGAAGAUAGUAUUCAAAAGCAGAAAUCCUGGGGAGGAACAAAGAAAAUCUUGUGAGACUUUGCAAUAUUCAGGGAUUUUACAGGUUGUUUCAAUUGCGUCCAUAAUAAUUAGGGCAAUGGAGAAUAUUAGCAUAAUUUAGUAAUUGUCCUUCUUGAAAUAUUUUAUUCUUCAACUGAUCAAAGCAGUACUGGAAACCUUGUUAAAUUUAAUUAGUCAGUAGGCUUAUUGCUUGCUUUUGGCUUGUGAGACAUUACCUCGUCAGCUUCCAAGAUUUAGAAUUAACAAAGUUAGUAAAAUAUUCUUCAUGUAGAGGCAACCAAAAGAGCUGCUUAAGUGAAUAUGUUUAUUUCAUUUGAUCAAAUUUUAGAACUAAAAUGUGUAGAGAGAGCAGGAGAUUAGUUCAUUUUCCAUCUUCUUUGACACAAUAAAGGAAAACGAUGACUGAUAAAAUUGAAUGAAGGGCUGAUUGAUGUAUCCAGGUCCUUUUUGUUGUUUUUACACUUUCUAUUCUUGCAUCCAUUUUAUGCGAUACAAAAGGAUAGAUGAUGUUUCUGAUCCAUGGUCAAUGCAGUGGUUGGUUUCUUACCGAUUAAUAUUAUUUCUGUUUCUCAUAUAUCAUUACGCUUCCUUUGUUUAGGUUGAUUGCUGUAUGUGCAAUAAAUGUGUCUAUACUGGUGAAAAAGUAUGAUAAUCAGUUAAAGGUUGUUGAAAACCUUUUCAUUGGACGUGCACAAAGCAAAAAUUUGGACUUCCAACCACCAUAAAAUUUCAAGUGCCCUGAAAAAUGUAAAGUUUUUUUCCCCCAAAUAUAAUAAAGCUGUAGCUGUACCCUUUUUAUUGUUACUCACAUUUGUAUGCGAGGGUUUUACAUGUUGAGUGUUGGUUGUUAGUUUGUUUCAUGGUCUUAUAUCAUAGCCUUAUUUUCCUUGUUUGUGCAUGGCUCUAAUACUUUUUUUCCUCAACUUCUCUCUCUCUCUCUCACACACACACACACACACACAAACAUGCCUAUAAAUGGCAUAUUGGUACUAAUCCGCCGCAAGAAAAUAACAAGCAAAAUUCAUUUUGUACGGAUGAUGCACACACACACAGACAUAUAUUUAUGUUUGGUGUUAUUUGAUAAACAAUACUUCUUAGAUAAGUAGAAAUUAGCAAGCAUGUUUCUACAGAAACUAGUUUAUGCCUUGUGCCUAUUCACAGCUGCUACUCUGAUUCUCAUAACUGAUGAUUUUGUCUUGCUGAAAAGUAGACUCAAUAGUGAUGCAAGUUGAUUGGCUAAAUCCUAAUUCAAAUCAUCAUGUAUUCUACUCACCCAAAAUUGAUCAUGUAGGCUGGACCUCCAAGUUGUUCUUGUACACUUAAAACCUGAAUCGACUUGGAUAAAAAUCUAAAAUGUGGACUGAUAUUCCUACCAUGAAAUAUAGUGGAUUUGAUAUUGCUUUGGAUUAUAAGAUAGAUACAUAAAACUCAGAUCCAAAACCAACUAAUUUUGGACUCGAAAUCCUACAUUUAUAUCCAACUGAGGUCAGACCUACUCAUGCUAGAUCUAACUGCUAUCAGAGUGGUAAAAAAGUUAUUAUACUUUAUGUGUCCAUCAAACAUUUAGCAGGUAAAAUACUUCUCUUUGAAGCAUUACAUUAGAAGUGCUUCUGGAUCAGAAAAGCAUAGCAUUAGAAGUACAACCUUAGAAAUCUUACAAGUGAACGAGCAUGGAACAGUGAACAGAUUGAUGGAAGACAGUUCUGAACCAGAUAUUCUGUGGAUGGGUUGAAUGAGUAUAGGACUAGAUCUGAAGAACCAUGGCCGAACUUGGAUUAUCUGGUGCUGGCUUACCAGGGAAGAUUAGCUUUUUCACCAUGUGAAGGUCAGGUUAAUGUAUUUAUCAUUUGAUCUUGUGAUGUUCACAUUUAGGGAUAGGAAGUAAAGAAUAGAAAGUUAAUACAAAGAUAUAUAACAGGUAAAAAAUUUUAGUUGUUAAAUACUGAUAGUUCUACCAUUAUGCUUUGCAAGAUAAUAUAGUUACUCUGUUGAUAAGUUCUCAAUCUGUUGUAUAGAUCACAGUUGCAGCAAAUAAAGAUGGUGAAAGUAAUGGAAGGAAAGAUUCGGGUGAAAAAUGUAUUCUGCUCUCAUCUUUCUUUUAAUAACAAAUCUGGAAAAAAAGAUUUUCAUGUCAGCUUUAAAGCUGAAAUUGCAACAAUUCCUUGCCUUUCCUGUGCUUCUUACUCUUUAUUCCUUCAUCUUGAUAUGGUGACAUCUGCAAUGGGAGCAAUCAACAUAGAAGAAUCAUCAAUGUGUCUACUUUUCUGAAUGGGCAGGCAAACUUUAAGGUUAUCGUUAUCAUGGAUAUUAACUUUGUUUGCUGGUUAUUCAUGAAUUAAAUGUUUGUAAAUUAAAGGACUCUAAGAGAUAUCUUAUAAGAACCUUCAUGGAAAUUUUGAUGGGGUGAAAAUUGAAAUUUUGCUGGUGAUUUUGGCCCAGCCAGGAGGUUGGCCUUGCCGACUGGGCCUAUUGCUCUGCUGGUGAUCUUCGGAGGUUGUCAACCUUAGGAUCAAGUCAUGUUGAUGCAUUGGUGGGUAAUCCUGUAGUUCUUACUUUUUUUCUUUCUUCUUGUGUAUGAUUUAAUCAUCUUUUCAGUGCUUUACAACACGAGAGGACUUGAAUGGAAUUUCUUUCUUUCUUUCUUUCUUCUCUUCUUCCUUCUUUUUUCAUGCUGGAUGGAUUUCUUAUUUCUUGUGAAAUAUUCUUGUGCUACCUUUGAUUUUUUUGGAAUAUUUCAUUGUUAGAAUGCUUGAGUAGAACUACUGCAUUGCAGUUUCCUUGUAGUUUCUUGUUUUCUUCCUUCCUCCCUUUCUUCGAUCCUUCUCCAUGCCUAAUAGAUUUGUCUUAUAUCUCGAGAAAGAUUUGAUCUUGUGCUAUUUUACUAGUAUGUUAAGUAAUUUUAGUGUUGGUAAAUUUGAAAGAAUUACUUUCUCAUUCAUUUCUUUCUUUCUCUUCUGUGCUCAGCAGAUUUCUUAUAUAUUGUGAAAGAUUUGAUCUUUUGUCAUUUGACUGAUUUAUUCAGUGAUUUCAGGAUUGGAAUGGUUGCAUAGAAUUAUUAUAGUGCUCUUCUCCCUUUUCUAUGCUCGAUAGAUUUCCUCUUUCUCAUAAAUGAUUUGAUUUUGUGCUAUUUUACUAAUGUGUUUGGUGUUUUUGAAUCUUUGAUGGUUUAAUGCUUGAAUGGAUAAUUGCUUUGCAGUUUCCUUCCUUCUUUCUUUUCUUGAUUGAUAGAACUCUUUUUAAAAUUGAACUUGAUAAUGGCUUAUGAUUUAUGAGGACUAACAUGGAUAUUAGUUAAUAAAAUGUAUUGUUUAGCCCUAUUUUCAUUUUGUGUUUCUUUGAGAAUAUUUAUAGAAUCAGGCCAAUUUGAGUUUAUAUAGGAAGGCAUCGGAUGUUGAGGUGUAGGAGAUUGCAAUAAACACUGAUUAUCAAAUGCAAUAAUAGCAGUAUUAUAAGCAAAAAUAUGUUUACACAAAUUUGUAAGCAUGAGGUAUCAUAUUAUGAUUGUUUUUACUAGCAGCGGCUGGGCACAUAAGUGAAACAAAGAUGAAAAUGCCGAGGUGGAAGAGGAUGAAUCAUGUUAAACACACUAAUGUUGAACACACUAAGGAAAAGUUGGUUGAUAUAUGUUGAAUGGUUACCAGGAAAUUAAGAGUAGUAUAAGAUAACUUGAGUAGUGAAGGGAUUUUAAAAGCACAAAAUGAUGGUAGAUGUAUCCUCUGUGGAAAGUUAUGACACCAGAGGCCUUAAAAAAGCUCAUUCCAAAUUACAGAUAAGCUUAUUAGUUAUGCUUUCUAAGAGAAACAAGUAACUUUAUUUGUAUUUCCAACUCUCAUUCCUUCAAAAAUGGGAUACGAAAAUAAAUUUCUAUGAUUUUAAUGAUCUUUGUAAUACACAUCUUGCUUCUGUUUUCUUAGUGGAACACCAACAUUGUUUGAUAUUUUCAUUUAGAAAAACGUUUUACCACACUACUCCUUUACUGCAUCAGUCCCUGCGUGCUAGAAUUAUCAUGGCCCCAUGGGAAGAUGAUAUCUUCUCAUCUUCCUUUGGGAAGAUGAUAUCUUCUCAUCUUCCUUUGGUGCGUACGAAAAUAAACACUACUCCUUUGGUGCUUGUAUUUCCUGCUUGUGUAGUGAAGAUGAUAUCUGUCUCAUGUUCACAUUUUGCUUCUUUCUCAAAUACGGUUACCGUUUUAUUCAUUUUUUAUUGGAUGUCCUCUUAUGUUUGUUUUCAUUAGCUAGCAUUUUUUUUUUUCUAAUUUCCAAUCAUCUGUCCUCUUCCAUAAGUAAUCCGUAACAAAGCCCUGCUCAUGAUAACAUUGCCUAUGGUACCAGCUUUGAAUCAUCAAAGUUUCUGCUAGUGCCAAACAAUAUCUAUUAGCAGGUUUCAUUGCUUACAUUGGAGUCAUGAUCCUGUAGGGGGAAGCCUAAUAAAAAUGAACAGUUUCCUUAGUUUCAUGCAGUAUUGUCCGAGGUCACAGCUUGUCAAAGUGAACUUCAAAGUCUUUUCAUCGAGGUGUUCUGUGUUUCUUUCAGCCAGCCAUGUCCUCAGCAGUUGAAAUAGGAUCCUUGUCAACAAAUUGAGCUGGAAAUCUGCAUGUAUUAUUAGAUGAGAAAGAUAACUCCAUUGUGCAUUUGGAUGACAAUGCAUAAUUACAUGCUAAAUGGCAUUGUUGACUGUGGUGAGAGACAAACAUCUAUGGACGAGUUGUGCUUCUUGUGGAGCAAGUUGAAGUGAGCAAGGGAAGCCCAAUAAUUACUUGUCUAUUAGAAGGCAGGCAGGGAAGAGAGCGCUAGAGGGCGAGAAAGGGAGGGAGCCAAAGCGGAAGAGGGGAGGGAGAGGACAGAGGUUCACGGGGCCUGAUCCCCACUGGUUUUAAAAAAGACAUUGACAGGCUCUUUUCUUUUCUUUUUUUUUCUUUUAAUCUCACAAGGGAUUGGGCUCGCAACCCUCCAUGAUCUCCUGUUCCCUUCUUCACCUCCCCCUCUAUAUCCACCAAUCCCACUGAUGUCCAGGUGGUGCAAGGGCUGAAUGUAUUUGUGAAAAAGUCAACAGCUGAGGCAUUGCAGUGUGAGCUGUAUCUUGUUUCACUUUAAAGCCUUCUCUUUUUCUGUAUUUUUGAUUCUGCACAAGGAAAAGAAUGUGUAAGGAUGGAAAUAAUUUAUUACUGGCAUGUGCUCUCUGUAGGGGCUACCAAGCACAAACCAAUAAAAAUGAUGACAAUAGUGUUAACAAUCAUCCGGAUUGUUCAAGUUGCACCAUACUUGUGUCAGAUGUUAGAUUUUAUUGCUUCUUCUAAUGAACUCUUAUAUAGACCAUGAUUUUAGGCUUUUUUUUUUUUCUGGGAGGGUUAAAGGAGGGAAGGACCCACCAAAUUUAUCAAGGAAAGGGGAAAAGAUAAAAAAAAUUAUGAGAAAAUAAGCAGAAGCAGAAGUGGAAAAUACAAAAAGUUAGAGGAAGGAAGAGAAGAGAAAAGGAAGGCAGUAAGUUUUCUAAACAAACUAAAUUCGACCACUUCUGCCAAUCAUUGUUUCAUUCCCCACAAGAUUCGUGCUGGGGGGGUGGUGUUGGGUUGAUAUAGGUCAUGCUCAACAGGGUUGCCCAAUCCAUAAGUCCAGCAGAAAAUUCAGUCCAAUCUUGCUAGAUUAUGCAAACAGGCCCUUAUGUUCUUGGUAUAUAAAUCAAUAUAUGCACUCCCACUUUUAACUACUGCACCCAAUAAUGAAGAUCAUAUUUACCAGAAUCACUUCAGACAAAAGUUGGGCAAUGGUCCGAUGUCCGCUCCUCCAACCCCCCCCCCCACCUAGAGCAUAUGCAUCAGAUAGAGGAGAAACAAACACUUGGCAUGUGCUAAGCAUGUUACUAGAUUAGGAUAAAGGAUCACAUGCCUCCUCCACUUUUGGUUGUUGUACCUGUGUUUCUCCUUCUCAAAAUAUAGCUAAUCUGUCCUAUUUUUUGUUCAGUUCUUGUCCCAGUGUUGGCUAUACAACAGGAGGUGCCCCUCCCAAAAACAACAUGCUAUCUUGCUUGCCUUCAUCCAUGCAUAAAUCCUGCACCCUGCAGACCAUAUGCACCCAUCAGGGUACUCGGAUUCCACAAGUUCCUUGCAAAUCAGCAGCACUUCAGUCAUGUGGGAUGCAGUGAUGCCUGUCAGUUUAUGCUGCAAGAUAUGAUCUUCAACCUCUUCUUUUAACUAGAGCGACAAGUGAAAUGCCACUUUUCCGUGCAUGUAUCCUGUGGGACUCUCGGGCCACUUAUUUGGCAUUUAUCAUGCUGAUGAGAACUGAGAAGUCAAUUUGGAAUUUCAGUGUUUGGAAUACUGUAAAUUGUCAUAUCAUGCAUAACCACUCUUUACUGCAUUAUGUGCUGCGGAAUUUGCAUGAUAUAAAUUGUGAGUAAUGAUUUAGGUAA